rnacentral:rRNA from 1 species
GAUGAACGCUGGCGGCGUGCCUAAUACAUGCAAGUCGAGCGAACGGACGAGAAGCUUGCUUCUCUGAUGUUAGCGGCGGACGGGUGGGUAACACGUGGAUAACCUACCUAUAAGACUGGGAUAACUUCGGGAAACCGGAGCUAAUACCGGAUGAUAUUUUGAACCGCAUGGUUCAAAAGUGAAAGACGGUCUUGCUGUCACUUAUAGAUGGAUCCGCGCUGCAUUAGCUAGUUGGUAAGGUAACGGCUUACCAAGGCAACGAUGCAUAGCCGACCUGAGAGGGUGAUCGGCCACACUGGAACUGAGACACGGUCCAGACUCCUACGGGAGGCAGCAGUAGGGAAUCUUCCGCAAUGGGCGAAAGCCUGACGGAGCAGCGCCGCGUGAGUGAUGAAGGUCUUCGGAUCGUAAAGCUCUGUUAUUAGGGAAGAACAUAUGUGUAAGUAACUGUGCACAUCUUGACGGUACCUAAUCAGAAAGCCACGGCUAACUACGUG